AGUGCUCUUCUCUGGCUUGGUCUGGAGCCUGAGAGGAGGGGGACUGGUCCGGGCUGCCUGGACCCUGACACGGUCCAGGAUUCUCAGCAAACCACGAGCGUCUUCAGGGCGGGCAUCUCCGACUGAAGAUGGUGUUUGGUGCGUGCUGCCCGAGAGAGAGACUCUGCCAGUCCCUGCUCGCAGUGCACCUCUUCAUUCUGGCAGGAGCCGUGUACUACUGUUUCCAGGAGCCCGUGGGGAGAGCAGCCCCCCACCAUGACGUGGCUGGGGACCUGGCACAGCACUUAGGGGAGACCCCGAG